UUACGGCCAUAUCUCGUUGAAACACCGAUUCUCGUACGAUCACCGAAGUUAAGCAACAUCGAGCUUGGUCAGUAACUAGAUGGGUGACCGCUUGGGAAUACCAGUUGCUGUAA